rnacentral:lncRNA from 1 species
AAUUCAGAAACAGAGAGAGAAGUCGAGGAGAUGCGCUCAGCCUGGGAGGAAUAAGAGUAGGAGAGCUCAUUCUGCUCGACACGAAAUCCCACUGAGAGGGGUUUCACGGCCCUGACGAGUUUGGUUGCGCUUUGUGGAUAAGCUGGAGGACAAGCUCUGCAUUCUCAUCAGCAUUUCUGGGAAAACAUCUUGAUGUCCCGCUGAGAGAAAGGUGAGAGUCGGUGGGCACCGGGAGACUGAUUUUUAGCGACCCGACGCACCAAAGGCCGUGGGAGUUCCUCACUUCCCUCGGCGUCUCGGUUCGAGCGGGCGCUGACGCAAUGGCUCAGGGAAAGGCCACUACAAAGAAAGAACGGUGCUGACUUAAAAAUAAAAACCAGUGCUGCUCGUUACAGUGAGAAAACACCAAGGGACUGAGAAGAUGUCGUUCACAAGAAGAACUCGGUUUUCCAGAGGUGCGCUGUUUUCAUCAGAACAGGGAGUAAUGAGGUUUUAAACUUCAGGACUUUCUCGUACUCACGUCACUCACACGAGAGCGAAAACUCGGUGCGUCCCUCCCGACUACGCGGCUACGGCUUAGAUAUAACAGCUUAGCAGUUGUUUAUCUCACCGUCUUCCCCAUUUAUACAUUUGACGCUUGUUAGCUACUUUUAUUUUGGUCCCGAUGGAACUCCCUACAAGUUUGAUGCCGAGUUCAUCUUAUGAGAUCCAGGUAAGGGUGCAGUUAGCUUUAUUUGCUUGAGACUAUACGUGCAAUUCUUACAAUCGGAGAACUGAAUUCAAACAGGGUGAAUCGAUCGCCGGGUCUCUGCUAAAAGAUACCAAAAGUACACAGCUUUUCUUACUUGCAGGCCUUCACUGUUGCCUAAGUCUUCAAAAUAGAAACUAACAGAAGUAGUUUUGAAUUACGUACUUUCUGGAUGGAGGUUUCAUGCUGCGUUUUCAAACAUGUACCUUCUUAUUUUUUAUUCCUUUCUUUCUUAAUGUCUGUUUCCGUGCAGCGAGCAACCGUAAGCUCGAGGGAAGAAAAUGCUGAUUGUUUUCCUGUUCACUUUCUGCUUUGGAUCCCGCACCGGGUUAGGUCUGAGUGUUUGAUGCGGAUGUAUCUCGUGUACGUUCACUGCGGGCAACCAGCUAGAACGGUACACCACAAGAAUUAACAGAGAAGCAGCGGAUCGGUGGACAGAGUUGCGGCAGAUAAGACGGCUGGCUAGAGCUAAUCAGCAUUUCCAACUCGAACCAGGUCAGGAGUACGCAGCGAGGGAUGCUGCGGCCUUUCAUCAGAAAAAGACCACCAGGCGCCCACCGAGGAAACGCCACGCGCGCGUAACAGGACUGGGUCGCAGAGUGGGGAACUCACUGUAAUAACCCAACCUUUUCUUGGAAAUCUAAUGCAUAUGUAAGCUGCUUGUUCUUUAAAUGUUUGCCUUUCUUGUCAUCCGGUGCGCAAGUUAGGAGGAGCGAUCCCCCUCGCACCCAGCGCUGAAUAAACACACCUGCUUUAUAACCUUACGUGGGUUA